rnacentral:lncRNA from 1 species
UGGAGUUCCCGUCAUGGUGCAGUGGUUAAGGAAUCUGACUAGGAACCAUGAAGUUGCGGGUUUGAUCCCUGGCCUUGCUCAGUGGGUUAAGGAUCCGGCAUUGCCGUGGGCUGUGGUGUAGGUCGCAGAGGCAGCUCGGAUCCCGCGUUGCUGUGGCUCUGGCAUAGGCUGGCAGCUACAGCUCCGGUUAGACCCCUAGCCUGGGAACGCUGCGGGAGCGGCCGAAGAAAUGGCAAAAAGACAAAAAAAAAAAAAAAAAAAAAAGAAACACAGUAGCUUCUUGUCUGUAUUCGUAAGGUGACUAGGGGUUAUCAGCACAGGGCUGGAGGGUGGGUGGUGAUAGUCAAGCAUCUGAGGAACCCGGGGAAGAUAUGCAGAGGUUGCUCCGGGAAGCUGAGUAGUUCCCACUUGGAUUUCCUCUCCUUCUCCCCCUCCCUCUGCUCCUGUCCCCUGUUCUUUCUCCUCCUCCUCCUUCUGCUCCUGCUCCUUCUCUUUUCUCUCUGCUUCCCACUUUGUAUUUUCCCCAAUAAUACACAAUUAUUCAGUGUAUCUUGACCUGAUAAGAAUUGGAGGCAUCCACAUUAACUAAAUUUCUCUCCUCCCUGCCCCUUGAAAUUCCCAGGGAGUUAGAGACAGGAGAUUUAACAGCAGCCAACAUUUUUCGAUAUGGUUCAGGUGAGACUUGGAGAAACAUCUGAAGUUUUGCUGGAGGACACUGGUUUAACUUGUUCCUAGAUCAUGUCUAUAGAAUUUUAUUGGGACUUGUUUGCAUCUGGGCUUUCUGGUAUUAACAGAAUGAGCUGCACUUAGAACAUACAGAAUUUCCUCUAAAAAGGCACACAAUAAUAUGUGUGCCUUUUACUCUUUUUCGAAUAAAGUUGUUUCUCUGGUCAUUGUCUUCUGGGAAUUCUCAUUGGCUGGGUGACCCUCAGAAACCUAACUUUAAUUGACAGCACUCCUUAUUCCACAUUUAUUCUCACAUGUUGCAUCACGUGAGGGUGACCAAACCCACCAGAUGACUGUUUUUUUCUUUUUUGGCCACACCCAUGGCAUAUAGAAGUUCCCAGGCCAGGGAUCGAAUCCGAGCCACAGCUGUGACCUAUGCCACAGCUAAGGCAAUGCUGGAUCCUUGAUCCACUUGGCCACAGUGGGAACUCCACCAGAGGUUUUUUUUUUGUUUUUUUUUUUUUUUCCAUGUAGGAAAUGACAGUGUCUACUUCAAAUCAUAAGUCCUACAAUUUGGCUUUGCAUACUGGCAGCAUGGGGAGUAUGAUUUGAACUAAGAGGUACGGGGAACACUACUCUAACUGCUAACUCACCUUCCCCAGUGUCUGAAAUUCCAGCAGUGGGCAUUCUCUUGUGUUCCCUCUAGUCAAUGACGUCUAGUUGAAAUCGCCAGGUCAACUAAUUCUUACAAGAGCGAUGGGAACUCAUUACCCUUUUUUUUUUUUUCCCUCCAGACGCUCAGAGACCCCUAACUCCCUAUAGAAAGUGUGAUAUUGAGAAAAGAAACAACACCAGUGUGAGUUAAGGUAGAUGAGGAGGCACUAACGGCUGAUGUCACCUGCUUUACAGUUUGGGGGGAGGGUUGGCUUUUAACGAGGAUGCUGUCUGGGUAUCAGGGAUCUUGCCCAUCGGAGGGAGCACGUCUUGGUGAAAAGAAAUGUGAUGAUUUCUGCGUUGGUGCUUGAUGGUCAAGGUGUUCCCAGGCUUGGAACACCGAGGGUGGUCCCGGCAAAAUAUUGCUGUGCUCAAGCUGUCUGCAUGUGAGAUUAUAUAUUACAACACAAAGUUUUUUGCUUAUCGUCUUUUUAAAGCAGCAAGCGUCAAAGACACUUACUCCAUCAGAACAAGGGAGCUGUUUAGUGCCACUGAGUAGCUUACCCCUGUGGCUCUCUGUGGGAUCCAGCCUGGAUAUUUUAUUACCUUCUAUGCAGAUAUAUUGAAAUGAGGUGCUUAUCACCCUAGGUUUCUCCCUGAUGUUCAUAUCCACGUUCACUCUCUGGGCUAGAAUUGCCUUCCUAAGGGUCAGAAGGGAACCAUUUUUCUCUCUAACAUUCCUAGAUUUGCUGGAUUUCUCUUCUACAUGGCGUUAUGACACACAUUUAGCUUAAAGGCAGGUAAAACAAAUUAAAAAAAAAAAAAAAAAAACUAGCACCAGCCGAGAAAAUAGGAAAAGAAAUUAAAAUAUAAGCAAAUGAUUUGCAACCCAGGAAGAAGAGUGGGAUUUCUUUUGCUGCUGCUCAUCUGUGUGAUAUAGUACUUCUCCGAAUGUCCCUUUCUAUGGACUGAAGUGAUGGCUCAUUUGUACCGAGGAAAGGUGCUUCAGAUUAAUUUUGGAAACUCCAAUACUGCACUGUGCUAAAUUUUAAUUAUUUCACUUCCUGCUUGGUAUAUUAAUGUUGUGAUUACCCUUGAAAGUGUAUUACCAAUGAUGAUUUAUGCAAAACCCAGCCAGCUCCACAGCUCCAUCGGUUUCAAUUAAAACCAGCACGGAGGAAGCAGGCGGCCGCCGUAUUGGCCACGGACCAUCCUUGCUUUCACAAGCAGGUAGAGUCCGUUUACUCAAAGCAUUACCCUUGUUUAUCGUUCUGGCACCGUCUCUUGUGUGGCACAGCUAACCGCUGAGAGAGGGAACUGUAGAGACUUGGUCCACUGGCCUUGGAUCCAAACCGAAACUAUCCAGCAAAAUGUGUGUUUUCCGUGCUUCCCUGAGAAUCGAGGACAUUUGGGGCCAAUUCAUCCUUCUUUUGAAAUGUUCAAGGGGCGAACUGGCCAAAGGAGCUAUUGAGAAGUUAUUGUUUUCUGGUUUCGAGGAACAGGGUUUGGUCCGUCUCUGAGGCCUGUGGUCACCUGCAGUCAAGCAUGACGUAGGCACUGCUUCUCAAAGGAGGCGCUGUUUUCUGAGCUCAUUUAUCUCAAUGCCUUGGACUGUUGAGGGUCAGGAGGUUUCCCACGGUGCGUCCCCAGUACCCAGUCCCUCUAAUUACUAAUUUGGCUGCACAGUUAUUGAAAUCUCCUGUCUACCUGGCAGCCCUUCCUAAGUCUAGUCCAAACGAUGUCGCUAAGGUUGCCUGCCAGGUCCGCGAGGCAUGCUUCCUCUGAGCACCGGAGAGACAGGCCGCCAAACCUGAUUUCCAUGGCAGUUUCAUUUUAAUCACAUUUGGAAAUUCUCGACUACAGGCUGUGCAUUUACCAAGUCGAGGGAGCCUGAACCUGCCAAGUGAGAGCUCCAGCGACAGCCAGCCAGCCAGGAGUAGGACCUGAUUUCCAGCAAAGAGAGUGAAGUGCAUCCACCUUCCGAGGCCCAGGGCCAGAUGGAUGCGUAGCCUCGCGGUGCUGGGAGGCUUGGGGCUCUUCUGGGCUCACGCAUGGUCUCAGUGGCUCCUGUUUUCCCGCUUCAUCUCCCACCCUCUCCCCUUCUUGGCUCUGCGCUCCGCGGGCACGCACACCCGAAGGCACCCCGAGCCUGCGUAGAUCAAGACGUUUGCCUUGACCGCUCUCUCCCCUUGAGAAACUUUGCCUGACUCUUUGGAGUGGAUGGUUUUUGUGUUUUGUUUUGAAUCUUUAAGUCUCUGCCUGACUGUUUCUUCCUCUGAGGGCUCCGACUACCACACUGUCCUCCAUCCUAUCUUGUUUACUUCCUUGGUGGCACCUACCAUGGGGUGAACGCCUCCUUCUAUCCUGUCUGACCCUCCUGCUGCAGUGGACAAGCUCCACGAGGGCUUUUUUUUCACCACAGCCUCCCCGGCACAAAUCUCAGAGUUGGGGUAAAGUAUCGCCAUUUCAGUGCCCUGUAAUCAAGAAGGGAUGUUUCCAUCCAGCCACAGUUCAUAUGCCCACUUACUCAACAGGCACCUACUUAUUUAUGAUUAUAUGAGCCACUGCCCAAAAGGUGAUUUUCUAGGCAGGUUCUCAUGGGAAAUCAUGUAUGGAAGGCAAAGUCUUGCCUUGCUCCGCAUAGACUCUGGGGUGAGAUCCAGAGUUCCCUUUUCCAGGGCUGGUAUUUGUCCUCAGGAGGAGAAGCGCUACUUGUUAGGGCAGUGCUGGCUGAAGCCCCUGCCUGUCAUCACCUCCCUGGAUGUGCUGUCUUGGUAUAGUCUAUGGCCUGCCCCCUGCCCUGCCGCCCCGCUGUGCACCCAGGGGUAGGCCAGGGGGAGAAGUGCCAGCAAGGAGAUGGACAAGGUGGGUUAAGCUCACCCUCCUAAUGCUAGCUGGGACCGUCCUUACAUUUUUCUCUCCUAAGUGCCUCUUUUGUUAAAAUCGAAUCACAAUAUGAUCUAUUUUUUCUCUGUCUUCAUCUCCCAGUUUUACAUAAUUUCCUUCUGACUUUACAGCCUAAUCCUAAACACUCACACUUUUUGUGACACUCAUGGCCUUAACCUUGACCUCUGAUCUCCCUCCUCACCCCGUCCUUCACUGUGGCACUGGCAAGGCCCUGCUGAACUUCUCUGCUCUUGUCCAUGAAGCAGAAGCUACAGUCAGGUGUCCCUAGUGCUUCCUCCUCUGCCUCUUGAGUGGCCGGACCAUUCCUGUGUAGUGUCUGCACUGCCACCUGUGCAAAUGGGCCAUAAGGCCAUUGAUUCUGUCAUCAGACAGAUGCUCCAGUCGUGAUGCUCCCACUUCUAGCCAUGUAAUCUGAUGCAAGUCACAACUGUUCUGAGCUUUGAUUUCCAGAAAAUUGAUAUAAUAAAGCCUCAUGAUUAUUAUUGUGAGAGUUAAAUGGAUAAUGCACAAUGGACUGGGCAUAGUUCUGGCACACAGAACAUAGAAAAUAGAUCCAGCUCGUCCUUCGGAACAGUAAUGCAAGGUUCUUCAACCUCAAAUAACCAAAGCCUAAACGCACAUCAUUAGCAAUUUUCUUCUUUGGAAAAAAGCAUUCUAUUUGUGGUCCUUGACAAAAAUGAAUAUACUCCGAGGGCAUUAUGUCCAUCAGGAUUCUGACAGGAAACAGAUGGCACACUCAAAAAGUUUGAACUAAAGAGAUUUUAAUAAAAGGUGGGUAGAAUUGAAGGAACUCAUAAAAGAUGGGGAAGCAUCCAGGGCCUAACAAUACUGACCUAAAAUUAGGGCUGUGCAAUUUCAUUGGCAAAGAAAUUAAUAUAGAAUAAAAUUGUAGCUCAGUUUUGAGCUCCUACCCGGUGUCAAGUUGUGUGCUAGCAACAAACCUGACUAGUAUCCAUGAGGAUGCGAGUUCAAUCCCUGGCCACGCUCAGGGGGUUAAGGAUCCGGCAUUGCUGUGCUGUGAGCUGUGGUGUAGGUUGCAGACAUGGCUCGGAUCUGGCAUUGCUGUGGCUGUGGUAUAGGCCUGCAGCUACAGCUCUGAUUUGACCCCUAGCCUGGAAACUUCCAUUGGUGGGUGUGGCUCU